GGCGGUAGGGUAAAGUGUCUUGCCCAAGGACACAACGACCAGGACAGAGAGCCCAGGGAUCGAACCGGCGACCUUCCGGUUACAGAUACGCUUCCCAACCCCCUGAGCCACGGUCGCCCUGACAUAGAGAGGAGACUGAUAAAGAGAUAGACACACGGCAUUUGAAGAGCUCUUCCGAUCUGGAGGAAAUGAUCAGUAAUCUCAGUGAUUUAAGUCAGGGGUUAAUGUUCCUCAUUAUUAUUAUUAUUAUUAUUGCAUGAUAACCAUGGGACUUUAAACCAAAUAAAGAUACAUAUGGUAAUGCAGUUUGUUAAUGACAGAUGAAAUCAAAUUACAACACAGGUCUCUGUCCGUCUUCUAUAAAUGUGUUUUAUACUGUAAUUUUUUUUUUUCUUUUUUCUAAAUGACAUCAGAAACAGCAGUAUGCGACAUUACAUGAUGGCAGAGCGUCAGUUCAUCCUUUGUCAUUUUUUUUUUUUAAUAAAUAGGACAGGGGGAAUGAAUGAGAGAGAGAGGGGGAGAGAAAGAAAGAAAACCAAAGGGGAGAAGAGACGGUGAGAAGGGGGGGGAAGAGAGAGAAAAAAUUUAAAAAAAACUCCUGGGUCACCUGUAUGGAGAAAAAAAACAAACAAACAAAAACAAACAGAGGAGACAGCAAACAACAAAGAGAAACAUAAUAAUAGAGAAAACAAAGCACCAUCACAAUAAACUAGCUAGUCAUAGAUAUCAGUAUUUACUAAGUAAUAAACGAUAUUGUGCAGCACGCAAGAUAGACAGCGCACAGUGUGCUUUGAGGCAGCAGCCAAGAAAGCUUUAGUCCGUGUCUGUGAAUACCCAUGUGUGCAUACCUGUGUGGAUCAGCAUGCUUGCAUUCCAAAGGUUUCUCCAUGUAAUGAUCUGCUAGGGAGUGUGGGGGGGCCACAGCCCCGUCCUCCAGGGUGUGAAGCGGGUAUGGAGGAGAUCAAAACUCCAGACAUCCAGAGGCCCCCAGAACACAAGAGACCAUGGAAGACCAACAGAGGGGCAG
ensembl:lncRNA